AACACCGACCAAACCAAUAAUGUUACCAGCAGGACAAUCCUCAAUAGGCUCAAUUCUGGAACCCAUCAUAAGGACGGUACGUUGGAUAGCCUUGAUGAAGAGAUCGUCCUUCUUACCGGGAACAUAGUUAGGGCCUUGAAUGCGGACCUUCAAACCAGAACGGACAGUACCGGAGAAGACACGACCAAAAGCAUAGAAACGACCACGAUCAGAUGUGGGAACCAUCUUAGAAACGUAGAUCAUAAGAGGAGCAUUGGCAUCACAGUUACGGAUACC